GGUGCUGGCUUCGGGGGGAAGCGGCCACCACCGCCGGCCUCCGCCGCUCCGCGCCUCUCUCCCGGCCACCCUGCGCCGCCAGGGCCCCGCGGACCUGCAAACCCGAGGCCGAGAGCGGAACUGCCCUGCCGUUUCCCGGGCUCGGGGAUCUCGGGGCUCGCGAUGGCGAUGCGCCGCGAGGAAAGGCGAGGAGCUGCGUGGGGGCUGAGUGUCCUCGGAGCGCCGGGACGCGGGGAGCGCACGCCCCCGGGCUGGGGAAGCUGCCGCCCCGGGACCCCCUGGGCCAAGUCCCUCCAUCUUCGCGGCGCCCGAGCACUGAGGCCGGGGCGGCCGGCGCUCUGGCCUUGGAUGGAAAGUGGGAGAUGGGAUGCGGGGCUCCGGACCUCCUAACGUGGAUUACUUGGUGCGUCCCAGCCGGGCUCAGAAGACUCAGGACCUCCCUCCAUCCUUGGAUUGAUUCAUUCCACCUGGCCGUCGGGUCGCGUUACCCGGAGGUGAAGUCAGAAGUUUGAGGCUGGCCUGCGUAGAUGCUCCGAACCAGACAAAAAGGCCUAGAAAGGAGGGGCGGCUGUGGGCUCCUUCCUCUUAGUCACCCACCCUUCCCACCAGGAAGCUGGGUGGGGCCGACGUAUGCCACCAGGAUCCCCGUGAAGGACCCGGCUGAGAUGGGACCAACCUAUAGGAGGCCAGAGCUCUGGAUCUGAUUAAGAAUUCCUAUUUUGGAGAAGGAAGCAAGUUCUAGAUUUGAGAGGACAUUGGAGGAGAAAGUAAAGGCCCGUGCACUGAGCAGUAGUCUGUGUGUGGACCUGCGCGAGCCGGAGGUGGCCUCCAUGCAGUCCGACGAAACACCGCCGUCACAGACCUUGUCCUUCCUUCUUGUGGGGAACAUUCCCUCUGCCGCCGCGCCCCGAUCCCGUGAACCACAGGGCUUUCUGCCACACCCUCCGUCUUGCCCCCCGGUUUCCCCCCUCUACUGUGCCUUUGGACUCCGUCAUUCUUGUUUGCUCCAUUAUCUCCCAGCCGGAUACAGAGUGAAUAGUUAACUACACUUAGGUCAAAUGUGAUUUUAAUUUUCGUUCCUGUUCCUUCUCGCACGGCCGGUGUUUGUGUUGCUAUGUGAGCAGCGUUGGAAUAGUUAUGUCCUCUCGCUCAUUUGGGAUCCGGCCCCCUCGGGUUCCAGAGCGGUGCAGGUCAGUGCCAGAGAUCUUCAGGGCUCUCGGAUGCCGGGGGCACCGGAGGGCCCCCCAGGGGAGCUGACUCAGGAAGGCUGGAGCCCUCCGUGUCCAGCUUCCUUUGUUUGGAUCACACGCAGGUGUAUGUCUGGAAGAGCGAAAAAUACUAUUCGUUCAUCUCAACUAUCUUCUGUUUUUUUAAACUGAAUUUUUGACGUAUAAUUGACACACUGUUAUAUUCGUUUCCCAGCUAUCUUCUGUUGACGCGGACGCACAGACUGCUGUGAGGACGCCCCCGCCCUUGCGGGUGGCCACGGGGACCCAUGCCAGAACACGGUUUUUCCUUACAGACUCUGGCUACCAGAGCGGGGGUGCUUAUUGAGGGUCCUCUUCCCCCAGGAUGCCUGUGACACUCACUGACAGCAGCUCAGGCCCUGCGAAACACGGGUCAAAUAUUCCGUCACCACCGUGCGCCUGGCUAAAAACCCUUCUGGAUCAAUCUUGGCUACACUGCAGAACCAACAGUGUCCGUACAUCCCGCUUCCCGAACAAAUGGAUGCCUCGUCUUUGUAGAAGAAUUAAAGUUGUACGUAUCUGUCUUCUUGUUGCAGGGAAUGGGUUCCUGUGACCGUGUAGUGACUUCGGUGUCUUCUAAGGGGAACAUUGGGGACCUUCUUGACAUCUCAGAUUCACCACCAAGUGAGUGAGGGACCCUGUUGAGGAAGUUUCGUGCAGUUGAAACGUACGGCUUGUCCGAGGGCUUUGCCCGCCUUCCUUUCCGGGCACAGACUCCUCGUCCUGGUUAGGUUCCUUCAGGUUUCAAGGAACAGAGAUCCACUCAUCCCCCUUCCGUGAAUGAGGGCUUAUUCCAAGUUGCGUUGGAAACGAGGUAGACAGGAAACAGUCUACCCAGCAGCUGCCCAGCAAGACCUUUCUAGAAGCCCAAAGUCAUCCACGGUGUCCAUUCUGCUCAGCAGCAGGACCCACUGCUCCCGCUUCUAGCCUUCUGCGGUGGUGACGAGCUGACGGAGCUGCUCCAGUUUGCCCGGGGCCGAGCGCUUUCCCGGGACACACGACGUUCAGCGAUAAACCCGGGACAGCCCUGGGCGAACCAGAACAAUUGUCACCCUACUGGGUGACCGGAUGGCACCGCCUCGGCUGCUGCUUCUCCUGCUGGGGCUCGCGGAUGCUCUCCUCUCGUCCGGCCAGCUGCCGUUCAGAGCCCCUGUGUCUGACCACAUCACUGACCACCGGGCAGGCUACAGAUGGAGGCCGUUGGUUCAGGCACCCAUCUUGACCAAAUCCAGCGUUUUCCAGGGUGGUAGGGUUCCAUGACGCUGUAUAAAAACCUGGGUCUAACCAACCAGCUGAGACCACGUCCUUCAGAGGAGGUGCUGUGGAUACCGGAUGUGUCAGCCAUUCAAAGUAUCAGGGAUUCCUCUCCAAUACUGGCCUACUUAAAAAGAUGAGGCUAACCUUUCUUGUUAAGAACAAAGGAGUUCAUUUGAAACAAAAACACAGCCACCGGGAACAGACUACAAUGCGUGCAUGCUCGCAUGUGUGAGGUACAUGCACAUACCACAUAGAAUAAGCCAAGAAGAAAAUUCUGCAUCUUUGCGAGACAGAGGCUAAGAGCUAAGAACCAUUGGGAUGAAGGGGGCACCCGGGGGGCUCAGUCAGUUGAGUGUCCGACUUCGGCUCAGGUUAGGAUCUCACUCGUGGGUUCGAG